AGUAAAAGCCAUGUCACCCUGCAGCCCAAGACCGGUUACUCACUGAAGCUAAGCAGGGCUGAGCCUGGUCAGUACCUGGAUGGGAGACCACAAGGGAACACUAGGUUGCUGUUGGAA
rnacentral:rRNA from 1 species